AUUCAAGGAUGGGAAUCGAACUCCCAGUGUUCCGCUUACCGGGAAGAUGCCAUGUCCACUAGGCUACCUUGGA
rnacentral:tRNA from 1 species